CACAGGCCAUUUCUCAUACUGCAUGAAAAGAACCAGUUUUCACUAACUACGUUUUCAGUGUCCUACGUACCCACUUAGGUGUAUGUGCACACGUGCUUUUUAAUAAUAAAAUAUAUAUGAAAAUUCAAUGGAUGUUGGAAAAAGGGAUUACAAAUAAACUUUUGGAUACAAAA